UCAUCGGUGGUUCAGUGGUAGAACGCCCGCCUUUCAAGCGGGGGCCCAGGUUCGAUUCCCGGCCGAUGCA
rnacentral:tRNA from 1 species